AACGCUAGCGGCAGGCUUAACACAUGCAAGUCGAGGGGUAUGCUUCUUCGGAAGCAGAGACCGGCGCACGGGUGCGUAACGCGUAUGCAAUCUACCUUUUACAGAGGGAUAGCCCAGAGAAAUUUGGAUUAAUACCUCAUAGUAUAGCUGAAUCGCAUGAUUCUACUAUUAAAGUCACAACGGUAAAAGAUGAGCAUGCGUCCCAUUAGCUAGUUGGUAAGGUAACGGCUUACCAAGGCUACGAUGGGUAGGGGUCCUGAGAGGGAGAUCCCCCACACUGGUACUGAGACACGGACCAGACUCCUACGGGAGGCAGCAGUGAGGAAUAUUGGACAAUGGGCGCAAGCCUGAUCCAGCCAUGCCGCGUGCAGGAUGACGGUCCUAUGGAUUGUAAACUGCUUUUAUACGAGAAGAAACACUGCUUCGUGAAGCAGCUUGACGGUAUCGUAAGAAUAAGGAUCGGCUAACUCCGUGCCAGCAGCCGCGGUAAUACGGAGGAUCCAAGCGUUAUCCGGAAUCAUUGGGUUUAAAGGGUCCGUAGGCGGUUUAAUAAGUCAGUGGUGAAAGCCCAUCGCUCAACGGUGGAACGGCCAUUGAUACUGUUAAACUUGAAUUAUUAGGAAGUAACUAGAAUAUGUAGUGUAGCGGUGAAAUGCUUAGAGAUUACAUGGUAUACCAAUUGCGAAGGCAGGUUACUACUAAUGGAUUGACG
rnacentral:rRNA from 1 species